GAUGAACGCUGGCGGCGUGCUUAACACAUGCAAGUCGAACGGUGAAGGCGGAGCUUGCUCUGCUGGAUCAGUGGCGAACGGGUGAGUAACACGUGAGCAAUCUGCCCCUGACUCUGGGAUAAGCGCUGGAAACGGCGUCUAAUACUGGAUACGAGCUGCGAAGGCAUCUUCAGCAGCUGGAAAGAAUUUCGGUCAGGGAUGAGCUCGCGGCCUAUCAGCUUGUUGGUGAGGUAAUGGCUCACCAAGGCGUCGACGGGUAGCCGGCCUGAGAGGGUGACCGGCCACACUGGGACUGAGACACGGCACAGACUCCUACGGGAGGCAGCAGUGGGGAAUAGUGCACAAUGGGCGAAAGCCUGAUGCAGCAACGCCGCGUGAGGGACGACGGCCUUCGGGUUGUAAACCUCUUGUAGCAGGGAAGAAGCGAAAGUGACGGUACCUGCAGAAAAAGCGCAGGCUAACUACGUG
rnacentral:rRNA from 1 species